rnacentral:lncRNA from 1 species
CCUUAUACGUUACUAGCACAUGCAGUGCACGUUAAGAACAAUAGUCUUUUGUUCUGUUCUGUUUAUAAAAAGAAGAAAAAGCAUCCAGAACAAUGGGUGAGAAGAAACAAAAACCUGUCGCCUAAAUCAAGGGAUUGGUAUUCUCCAAAUCAUUGCUACCGCAUUGAGCCAUUUUCUCUGAUUCAGGCUGCCCCUGCUGAAUUUUAGAGAGCGUCAAAACUUAUUGGUUAAAGGGAUGCCUUUAUGAGUAAAACAUGAGAAAUAUUCACUUACUAGGUAAGCAAUUUGUAAGGACUGGAAGUAGAAAUUAAGCAACCAAGACAAG